rnacentral:rRNA from 1 species
ACACGGUGGAUGCCCUGGCAGUCAGAGGCGAUGAAGGGCGUACUAAUCUGCGAUAAGCGCCGGUAAGGUGAUAUGAACCGUUAUAACCGGCGAUACCCGAAUGGGGAAACCCAGUGUGAUUCGUCACACUAUCAUUAACUGAAUCCAUAGGUUAAUGAGGCGAACCGGGGGAACUGAAACAUCUAAGUACCCCGAGGAAAAGAAAUCAACCGAGAUUCCCCCAGUAGCGGCGAGCGAACGGGGAGGAGCCCAGAGCCUGAAUCAGCAUGUGUGUUAGUGGAAGCGUCUGGAAAGGCGCGCGAUACAGGGUGACAGCCCCGUACACAAAAGCGCAUGUGCUGUGAGCUCGAUGAGUAGGGCGGGACACGUGGUAUCCUGUCUGAAUAUGGGGGGACCAUCCUCCAAGGCUAAAUACUCCUGACUGACCGAUAGUGAACCAGUACCGUGAGGGAAAGGCGAAAAGAACCCCGGCGAGGGGAGUGAAAAAGAACCUGAAACCGU